rnacentral:rRNA from 1 species
UAGGGAAUCUUCCACAAUGGACGAAAGUCUGAUGGAGCAACGCCGCGUGAGUGAUGAAGGUUUUCGGAUCGUAAAACUCUGUUGUAAGGGAAGAACAGGUGUGAGAGGUAAUGCUCAUGCUAUGACGGUACCUUACGAGAAAGCCACGGCUAACUACGUGCCAGCAGCCGCGGUAAUACGUAGGUGGCAAGCGUUGGCCGGAAUUAUUGGGCGGAAAGCGCGCGCAGGCGGCCUUUUAAGUCUGAUGUG